GGGGUAGUAGCUCAGUGGACAGAGCAGCGGCCUUCUAAGCCGAAGGUCGAGGGUUCGACUCCCUCCUGCCCCGCCA
rnacentral:tRNA from 1 species